rnacentral:misc_RNA from 1 species
GAUGAAGGAACGUAGCGAAAUGCGAUAAGUAAUGUGAAUUGCAGAAUUCAGUGAAUCAUCGAAUCUUUGAACGCACAUUGCGCCCUUUGGUAUUCCGAAGGGCAUGCUUGUUCGAGCGUCAUUUCAAAGCUCAAGCUUCUGCUUGGUAUUGGGCCUCGUCCGUCUAGGACGUGCCAGAAACCCGUGGGCGGUGGUGCCGGUCUCCCAGCGUAGUCAAUUCUAUCCGCUUCGGAGCUUCAGGUGCUGCCCGCCGGACAACUCCAAAUUUUUCUAUGGUUUGACCUCGGAUCAAGUAGGGAUACCCGCUGAACUUAAGCAUAUCAAUAAGCGGAGGA